UACGGAGGGGCUAGUGUUGUUCGGAAUUAUUGGGCGUAAAGGGCGCGUAGGCGGCCGAAUAAGUCUGAUGUGAAAUCCCUCGGCUCAACCGGGGAACUGCAUUUGAAACUGUUCGGCUCGAGUCCGGGAGAGGGUAGUGGAAUUCCCAGUGUAGCGGUGAAAUGCGUAGAUAUUAGGAAGAACACCAGUGGCGAAGGCGCUC
rnacentral:rRNA from 1 species